rnacentral:rRNA from 1 species
GACGAACGCUGGCGGCGUGCUUAACACAUGCAAGUCGAACGGAAAGGCCUCUUUCGGGGGGUACUCGAGUGGCGAACGGGUGAGUAACACGUGAGUAACCUGCCCUUGACUUUGGGAUAACUUCAGGAAACUGGGGCUAAUACCGGAUAGGAGCUCCUGCUGCAUGGUGGGGGUUGGAAAGUUUCGGCGGUUGGGGAUGGACUCGCGGCUUAUCAGCUUGUUGGUGGGGUAGUGGCUUACCAAGGCUUUGACGGGUAGCCGGCCUGAGAGGGUGACCGGCCACAUUGGGACUGAGAUACGGCCCAGACUCCUACGGGAGGCAGCAGUGGGGAAUAUUGCACAAUGGGUGGAAGCCUGAUGCAGCAACGCCGUGUGCGGGAUGACGGCCUUCGGGUUGUAAACCGCUUGCGCUCAUGACGAAGCUUUGUGUGACGGUAGUGGGUAAAGAAGCACCGGCUAACUACGUG